UUUUUAAAAUUAGAGGCCUCUUAGACUUCAACUGAUGUGACUGUCUCUAAGAUCCACGGAGGAUUUAAACACGUAGGACUAUUCAGACGAUCCCUAUAAUAGAAAGAAGCUGGCUGGGAAGAGGUCCAGCCCUACCAAGACUUUACCAAUUUUUCUCGGAACGUGGACUGAGCUGGAAGCCUAAAGAAGUGGGAAGAAAAAAAAAAAAAAUGGUGGAGACGGCGGUGAUCAAGCCAAAGAGCGAAGCUACAGAAGGAGCAAGGCACCUGAUAGUUUGACAGUUGAGAAGGUAGCCGCCCCUGCCACACGCCCAGCUAAACCACCAUUCAAAUACAAAGACCAAGAAUGUGUUACAGACCGCUCUGAAGUGACCCUGAAAGUGGCAACCCAAGGAAAAGGAGCUGAGGCCCAAAGGAUGAUGUGGUUUCAGAAGCCGCAGGGAGCUGCCUCCCCCUGCAGAUGGACCCAUCACCCUAAUCAUGGUGAAGGACUUGCUCUCGAAGACACAGACUGAAGCCAUUCCCCUGGGCUCUACUGCCCCUAUUCAAAGAAUGUGACCCACCAGACCCUGAGCCAGGCUAGAACGGACAGCAUUUGCCUCUCCAGUUCCUCUCAGCUCUCUGGGGUCUGAACCACUGUGUGAAACUGUUAGUCUGCACUGCCAUCCUGACAAUAACUUGUGGAAGUACAGCAAGCCAGUAGGCAGCAUUCUUCCAUGGCUCCUGCCUCCCCUCAAAGGUGGAGUGGGACCCGAAGGCAUAAGGCAGCCUCUCCCAAGAGAGCAGAAUUAACAUAAAAUACAAGCA
rnacentral:lncRNA from 1 species